UACGUAGGGUGCAAGCGUUAUCCGGAAUUAUUGGGCGUAAAGAGCUCGUAGGCGGUUUGUCGCGUCUGCUGUGAAAAUCCGGGGCUCAACCCCGGACUUGCAGUGGGUACGGGCAGACUAGAGUGUGGUAGGGGAGACUGGAAUUCCUGGUGUAGCGGUGAAAUGCGCAGAUAUCAGGAGGAACACCGAUGGCGAAGGCAGGUCUCUGGGCCACUACUGACGUGAGAAGCGAAAGCAUGGGGAGCGAACAGG
rnacentral:rRNA from 1 species